AUUGAACGCUGGCGGCAUGCCUUACACAUGCAAGUCGAACGGCAGCACGGGAGCAAUCCUGGUGGCGAGUGGCGAACGGGUGAGUAACAUAUCGGAACGUGCCCAGUCGUGGGGGAUAACGCAGCGAAAGCUGUGCUAAUACCGCAUACGAUCUAUGGAUGAAAGCGGGGGAUCGCAAGACCUUGCGCGAUUGGAGCGGCCGAUAUCAGAUUAGCUAGUUGGGGAGGUAAAGGCUCACCAAGGCGACGAUCUGUAGCUGGUCUGAGAGGACGACCAGCCACACUGGAACUGAGACACGGUCCAGACUCCUACGGGAGGCAGCAGUGGGGAAUUUUGGACAAUGGGCGCAAGCCUGAUCCAGCAAUGCCGCGUGCAGGAUGAAGGCCUUCGGGUUGUAAACUGCUUUUGUACGGAACGAAACGGUCUGGGUUAAUACCCUGGGCUAAUGACGGUACCGUAAGAAUAAGCACCGGCUAACUACGUGCCAGCAGCCGCCGUAA
rnacentral:rRNA from 1 species